UGGGGAAUAUUGCACAAUGGGCGCAAGCCUGAUGCAGCAAUGCCGCGUGAGUGAAGACGGCCUUAGGGUUGUAAAACUCUUUCGCUAGGGAAGAUAAUGACGGUAGCCGGAGAAGAAGCCCCGGCUAACUCCGUGCCAGCAGCCGCGGUAAUACGGAGGGGGCUAGCGUUGUUCGGAAUUACUGGGCGUAAAGCGCGCGUAGGCGGAUUGUUAAGUCGGGGGGUGAAAUCCCGGGGCUCAACCCCGGAACUGCCUUUGAAACCAUCUGGCUCGAGGCUGGGAAGGGGGUAGCGGAAUUCCUGGUGUAGCGGUGAAAUGCGUAGAUAUCAGGAGGAACACCAGUGGCGAAGGCGGCUACCUGGACCAGUUCUGACGCUGAGGCGCGAAAGCGUGGGGAAGCAAACAGGAUUAGAUACCCUGGUAGUCCACGCCGUAACG
rnacentral:rRNA from 1 species